ensembl:lncRNA
GACAGACAAUAGUGGUGAUAACAAAGCGGCUCCCGCCAGCCGAGCCCAGAUCCCGGAGCUCCCCUCUCCCACCGCCCCGUGCUCCUGAGGGUCUGAUCCGGACUCCUUUGGGCUGGAAACAUGGAAAAACGGGAUGAAUCCCCCCUCUCCAUCCUCCGGGACCGCCGAGCCUUUGUGUGCCGGGGAACCAGCAGGGCAGGACCUUGUUGGAGUGCGUUCGAGCGGAGCCCAGCGUGCUUUUGGAUCUUUAACGUGGGCAUUUGGGGGCAUCUGGGGUGUGGAUGCCAGCCCCCCACAUGCAUUUUGGGGCGGGGGGGUCGAUGCUGCGGAGGGUGGGGAUGCACCGUGGCUCGGCAAGGUCAGCGGGGAGGGGGCUUGCAGCCCUUGUCCCUGCAUCCCCGCAUCCCUGGAUCCCUCCCCCGCGGGCGGCGGUGGGAAGGGGUGUUGCAAGCUUGGAGGGAGAGGGGGGUUGGACCAGCAGAAAAUGUCUUAGUGGGGUGGGUGUGAUGGGUAAGGGGACAUUCACCCACCCUGGCUGGUGUUUUAGGGUGCAGAGCAAGGACGGGCAGCCUUUGGGUUGGGGGAGAGGAUGCGACACUGGGGUGCUGAGCAGCUGCUGAGUGGUGCAGAGCUUCAAGCUCUUGGCUCAAAAAAAAGGGUGAAAAAAAGGGAAAAAAAAGCACCCAAGAGUUUGGGGUGAACACUGCUGGAAGCGCUGGGGGGGUUGUGCAGGACCCCCGUUUCUCAAAGGCUCGGUGGUGUCACCUCCUGCAGCAAAGCCCCCGCAGGCGUGCAUUGGCCUCGUGCACAGGGUGCCCCCAGGUGCGGCUUUGGAGGUGAUCCGGACUAAGGGUCGCUUAGUAAAACCCCCCAAAAAGGCAGAGUUUGGGAUUCUGGCUGCUGUGCUGCUCUGCAGUGGGGCAGGAGGCCAAGUCGGGGAUGGAUGGAUGGAUGGAUGGAUGGAUGGAUGGAUGGAUGGAUGGAUGGAUGGAUGGAUGGAUGGAUGGAUGGAUGGAUGGAUGGAUGGAUGGAUGGAUGGAUGGAUGGAUGGAUGGAUGGAUGGAUGGAUGGAUGGACGGACAGAUGUGGCCAGAGCCUGCAAAAAAAUCUCUGCUGGAAAGGGAAGAUGGCAGAGGGUGAAGAGGCAUGGUGGGGUUGUGGUAGGUUUUUAAUGAAGAUGAAAACCUGGCUAAAAGCCCCUCACUUCCCCCAGCAGCCACCUGGGCAAGCUCUGCCUGCAGAGCAGGGUCAGGCCUGGCCCCCUCCUCCUGCAGGGGAACAUUUUGGUACCUGCAUGGGGCUGGGGACCACAACCCGCUUGCUGUCUGUGUUUCAGCCUGGGAUCCUGCUCCCCGGGGUCCUGGCUUCCCACAGAGCUGAAGCAGGCAGCCCUCAGGGGCCAAAUAUCCUGAAUUUGGAGGCAGGCAGGCAGGAUUUUCUGGUGAUUUUACACCAGCUUUUCCAUUUGCAAACCCUUUCCCAGAGCAGCCAAGGGGAAAGCACCAAGCAGACAAAAGCAAAAUGCCCUUCGGGUUUCGGGGAGUCGAUCCUCCCCUUGCAGGGACGAGCACCUUCCACGCAGCAUUGGGGGGGGGGGGGGGGGGGGGGGGGGGGGGGGGGGGGGGGGGGGGGGGGGGGGGGGGGGGGGGGGGGGGGGGGGGGGGGGGGGGGGGGGGGGGGGGGGGGGGGGGGGGGGGGGGGGGGGGGGGGGGGGGGGGGGGGGGGGGGGGGGGGGGGGGGGGGGGGGGGGGGGGGGGGGGGGGGGGGGGGGGGGGGGGGCGGGUUUGUUAGGGGAACAAACAAAUGUUGCAGCCGAGUUGUGUUUCUUCUCUUGUGGGGUUUGAGUUCCCGAUUUGUGUGGGCUGGUCCCAUCCGUUCAGGUGGCUCUUCCCGCUUCCUCGGGUUUCCCUGCUUUGUCUUCACCUCCCAACACUUUGGUACUUGCAGUCAAAAGAGAGAGAGAGAGAGAGAGAGAGAGAGAGAGAAACCUUUCCUUCUACUUCCUUCUAUCACAUUUCCCUCCCCACACCCUCCAAAACAAUAUAAAAAAAUAGCAGCAGUGAAAGUACAACACCACAGCAUUUUGGGAAAGGUCAGGAAGUGUUGGAGGAGCAGAAACAUCCCCAGGGAGGGAUGCAACGUGUGA